rnacentral:rRNA from 1 species
CGGCGAGUGAGCGGUAAAAGCUCAAAUUUGAAAUCUGGUACUUUCAGUGCCCGAGUUGUAAUUUGUAGAAUUUGUCUUUGAUUAGGUCCUUGUCUAUGUUCCUUGGAACAGGACGUCAUAGAGGGUGAGAAUCCCGUUUGGCGAGGAUACCUUUUCUCUGUAAGACUUUUUCGAAGAGUCGAGUUGUUUGGGAAUGCAGCUCAAAGUGGGUGGUAAAUUCCAUCUAAAGCUAAAUAUUGGCGAGAGACCGAUAGCGAACAAGUACAGUGAUGGAAAGAUGAAAAGAACUUUGAAAAGAGAGUGAAAAAGUACGUGAAAUUGUUGAAAGGGAAGGGCAUUUGAUCAGACAUGGUGUUUUUUGCAUGCACUCGCCUCUCGUGGGCUUGGGCCUCUCAAAAAUUUCACUGGGCCAACAUCAAUUCUGGCAGCAGGAUAAAUCAUUAAGAAUGUAGCUACUUCGGUAGUGUUAUAGCUUUUUGGAAUACUGUUAGCCGGGAUUGAGGACUGCGCUUCGGCAAGGAUGUUGGCAUAAUGGUUAAAUGCCGCCCGUCUUGAAACACGGA